rnacentral:rRNA from 2 species
UUCUCCCUGAGACUUAGAGUCUCCUGAAGGAACGUUGAAGACGACGACGUUGAUAGGCCGGGUGUGUAAGCGCAGCGAUGCGUUGAGCUAACCGGUACUAAUGAACCGUGAGGCUUAACCUU